UACGAAGGGGGCUAGCGUUGUUCGGAAUUACUGGGCGUAAAGCGCGCGUAGGCGGAUAUUUAAGUCAGGGGUGAAAUCCCAGGGCUCAACCCUGGAACUGCCUUUGAUACUGGGUAUCUGGAGUUCGGGAGAGGUGAGUGGAAUUCCGAGUGUAGAGGUGAAAUUCGUAGAUAUUGGGAAGAACACCAGUGGCGAAGGCGGCUAACUGGUCCAGAUCUGACGCUGAGGUGCGAAAGCGUGGGGAGCAAACAGG
rnacentral:rRNA from 1 species